CUAAGAAUAUUCCGCAAUGGACGGAAGUCUGACGGAGCGACGCCGCGUGGAUGAAGAAGGCCGAAAGGUUGUAAAGUUCUUUUGCUGGGGAAGAAUAACCGCAGGAGGGAAUGCCUGUGGGAUGACAAGAACCGGCGAAUAAGCCCCGGCCAACUACGUGCCAGCAGCCGCGGUAACACGUAGGGGGCGAGCGUUGUUCGGAAUUACUGGGCGUAAAGGGCAUGUAGGCGGCUUGGAAAGCCUGGCGUGAAAGUCUGCAGCUUAACUGCAGGGGUGCGCUGGGAACUGCUGAGCUUGAGUGACGGAGAGGGAGCUGGAAUUCCUGGUGUAGGGGUGAAAUCUGUAGAUAUCAGGAAGAACACCGAUGGCGAAGGCAAGCUCCUGGCCGAUGACUGACGCUGAGGUGCGAAAGUGUGGGGAUCAAACA
rnacentral:rRNA from 1 species